rnacentral:rRNA from 1 species
CGAAGGGUGCAAACGUUGCUCGGAAUCAUUGGGCGUAAAGCGCACGUAGGCGGGACCGUAAGUCAGAUGUGAAAUCCCCGAGCUCAACUCGGGAACUGCAUCUGAAACUGCGGACCUUGAGUACUGGUAGAGGGCGGCGGAAUUCCUGGUGUAGAGGUGAAAUUCGUAGAUAUCAGGAGGAACACCGGUGGCGAAGGCGGCCGCCUGGACAGUCACUGACGCUGAGACGCGAAAGCGUGGGGAGCAAACAGGAUUAGAUACCCUGGUAGUCCACGCCGUAAACGAUGGGUGCUAGGUGUCUCGGGUAUUGACCCCUGAGGUGCCGUAGCUAACGCGUUAAGCACCCCGCUGGGAAGUACGGUCGCAAGACUA